rnacentral:rRNA from 1 species
UUCGCAAUGCCCGAAAGGGUGACGAAGCGACGCCGCGUGUGGGAAGAAGGCCUUCGGGUUGUAAACCACUGUCGGGAGUUAAGAAAUGCAAGGGUGUUAAUAGCGCCCUUGCUUGACUAAGGCUCCGGAGGAAGCCACGGCUAACUCUGUGCCAGCAGCCGCGGUAAUACAGAGGCGGCAAGCGUUGUUCGGUAUUAUUGGGCGUAAAGAGCACGUAGGUGGUUUUGUAAGUCAGAUGUGAAAGCCUUCUGUUCAAAGGAAGAACGGCAUCUGAAACUGCGAAUCUUGAGUGUAGGAGGGGAGAGUGGAACUUCUGGUGGAGCGGAGAAAUGCGUAGAUAUCAGAAGGAACGCCGGCGGCGAAAGCGGCUCUCUGGCCCGUAACUGACGCUGAGUGUGCGAAAGCUAGGGGAGCAAACGGGAUUAGAUACCCCGGUAGUCCUAGCCGUAAACGAUGGGCACUAAGUAGAGGGGUUUU